ACGUGAGUUGGGUCCGGGCCUGUAUGGGGCUCAACGAGUUUGGUGCGGCUCAGGAGAGCCUUCGCCGAACGUCCUCAAGAGUGCGGAA
rfam:Pseudomonas syringae pv. pisi str. 1704B contig4.26, whole genome shotgun sequence.